CCUUAUUCUUACAGUACCGUCAGUAGGGCACACGUGCCCCUUUUUCUUCCUGUAUAAAAGCAGUUUACUACCCAUAGGGCAUUCUUCCUGCACGCGGCAUGGCUGGAUCAGAGUCUCCUCCAUUGUCCAAUAUUCCUCACUGCUGCCUCCCGUAGGAGUCUGGUCCGUGUCUCAGUACCAGUGUGGGGGAUCCCCCUCUCAGGGCCCCUACCCAUCGUAGUCUUGGUAAGCCGUUACCUUACCAACAAACUAAUGGGACGCAUGGCCAUCUUCUACCGCCCGAAGGCUUUAACUAUAAUGUGAUGCCACAUAAUAGUACCACGGGGCAUUAAUCC
rnacentral:rRNA from 1 species